ACUAGGCUGCGCCGGGGAGUAAACAAGCGGCCGCUAGGGGCGGGCCGGGGGCGUGGGGCUCUGGGCCCGGCCGGUCUGCGGCAGCUCCGGAUGCGCGGGGUGGCCGUGGCCGGGAGAACGCGGGGCGGCGGGCAGGGCCUCCCCAGCCCGCCUGUCCUCGGCCCGCGCGCGGCGCCCGGAGUCCCGUCCUCCCGAGGCUGUCCCCCGCGCCCGGAGGCCGCGCCAAUGCUCUGGGAAGUGCCCGGCUCGGGAGCGGAGCUGCCGCUCGGAAGAACCUCGGGUCCUGGCGCGCCUGAACUUAAAGACCGGACGGAGAGUUAAAUGUGCGAGAGAUGCGCCUUUUUCUUAGGAAAGACCCCCGGGUGCCAGAAAAGUUUUGGACGCGCCGACCUAUGGGGCUAGGAGGGCUGAAGUAAGAACCAGUGACCGAGCGCCCGGAGGUGAAGUUGAUGGAAGAUGUUCAUCGCUCCGGACCCUGCUGGAGGUCUGGGGACGUCGGACACAGCCCCUGCGGUCCCGCCGCGGACCCCGCGAUAAAUACGCAGACACACAAAAUCACUACCGCCUUGAGUCUGGACAGCUACCUCAGGUUGUUAGUAUCUUACAGGAGCAGAGUGGAGCUCGGACCGACUUAGUGUGCGUGCUGGGUUCCGGCGCCCCCGGCCUGCCACCGAGGUCAGCAUCGCAGCCGCGCAGGGAGGCGGCAGUUCUGUCUACGGAAUGACUACAUCUGGUGAUUCCACUUCUCAUAGCUCGCCGCUGGGAGGAAAAUACCACCUCGGGACUCACAAGAUCUAUUCCAGAGGAUCCGCACUGGUGAAUUGAUUUUAGAAGACAGUGUGGUCUGUUGACAGUAUGGAAGGUUCUUUACCCAUUAGAUAUGAUCUGUCUGUGAUUGGAAGGAAACAGACCAGAUGCUAACACUUCUCUUGUAGAUGUUCAGAUUCAGUAAUUUUGUAUUUUUCUCUACGCUUUUGUUUUUUCAAAUUUCCUAGCACAGGAAGACUUUGACUUACUGCGCAUGUCAUUUUAAAUGACCUUUAUGAAGACUAUAGAACAAUUUGCUAGUCAUGAAAGUAACAUUCAAAUAAAGUAUGUACAUUGUGGCCACAAAGUAAACUUGUGUGGAAAGUAAUGUGCAAAAAAAAAAAAAAA